rnacentral:rRNA from 1 species
GACAGAGGGUGCAAACGUUGUUCGGAAUUACUGGGCGUAAAGCGUGUGUAGGCGGCUUUGCAAGUCGGAUGUGAAAGCCCCGGGCUCAACCCGGGAAGUGCACUCGAUACUGCAGAGCUUGAGUGUCGGAGAGGUUGGUGGAAUUCUCGGUGUAGAGGUGAAAUUCGUAGAUAUCGAGAGGAACACCAGAGGCGAAGGCGAGUCACUAGACAUGAUCUGACGCUGAGACACGAAAGCUAGGGUAGCAAACGGG